rnacentral:rRNA from 1 species
AAAUUGAAGAGUUUGAUCAUGGCUCAGAUUGAACGCUGGCGGCAGGCCUAACACAUGCAAGUCGAACGGUAACAGAAAGAAGCUUGCUUCUUUGCUGACGAGUGGCGGACGGGUGAGUAAUGUCUGGGAAACUGCCUGAUGGAGGGGGAUAACUACUGGAAACGGUAGCUAAUACCGCAUAACGUCGCAAGACCAAAGAGGGGGACCUUCGGGCCUCUUGCCAUCGGAUGUGCCCAGAUGGGAUUAGCUUGUUGGUGGGGUAACGGCUCACCAAGGCGACGAUCCCUAGCUGGUCUGAGAGGAUGACCAGCCACACUGGAACUGAGACACGGUCCAGACUCCUACGGGAGGCAGCAGUGGGGAAUAUUGCACAAUGGGCGCAAGCCUGAUGCAGCCAUGCCGCGUGUAUGAAGAAGGCCUUCGGGUUGUAAAGUACUUUCAGCGGGGAGGAAGGGAGUAAAGUUAAUACCUUU